rnacentral:rRNA from 1 species
UACGGAGGGGGCUAGCGUUGUUCGGUAUUACUGGGCGUAAAGCGCACGUAGGCGGCUUUGUAAGUUAGAGGUGAAAGCCCAGGGCUUAACCCUGGAAUUGCCUUUAAGACUGCAUCGCUAGAAUCGUGGAGAGGUGAGUGGAAUUCCGAGUGUAGAGGUGAAAUUCGUAGAUAUUCGGAAGAACACCAGUGGCGAAGGCGACUCACUGGACACGUAUUGACGCUGAGGUGCGAAAGCGUGGGGAGCAAACAGG